GUCAUUAAACAGCACCUUAAACUAAGGGCGCUGAAUUUAAGUGACCAGCGGAUCUUUGAGCUUCUGAGGGUGAUAGAGGAGGUCAGGGGUCUAGGAGCCAGGAUAAGGAAAGGAGAGAUCAAGCUUCUAGACUUCGUGUUUGAUGUCAUGCUCCCAGAGAUCCUGAUAAGCAUCCUGGACGAUGAAGGACUGACCCGGCUACAAGCUGAGUUAUUAAUGACUAGAGGGAGACUUUUUUAAGUGUAAACCUCCAUUUUGUUUAUUCAUUUUUCGUUUUUGACUCCUAAUUUUGGAAUAUUCUUUUUUUAUUUGCUCAUCAUUUUUGUUAAAGCUUCUACCUUUUGUCUUUAUUCUUAAAAGAUUUAAUAAAGUUAAUUGCAAAUAUGAGAACUUUUAAGUCAAUUUCUUAAUGUUACCAGUGUGAUGGUGUCACCAAAAUACUUGAUUAAUCCCAAAAAGUCAUUUCAGUGUUGUGACAGCGUUUUAUUAAGAAAACAAUUAUGAUGAUGAAUUACUUAAUCCAAAGGACGAUGGCUACUGGCUGUAAUGAUCUCUUAUACUUUUCUGCCUUCAAGCUAACCCGAGGAAGACUGAUUGAACAUACUAUUUCCUCAGUGUUGUGUAGAGGGGCUCAGGUUAUGCUGCCCCAGCAGAUGCUGGAAAGCAGAUUGCACUUUCUACAACAGACUUACAGAAGACAUAAAACAAUCAGACAUUGAAUGAUUUUAGCUUCCUUAAGAAGUAAGCUCAGUCCUUUUGUUUUUUC